rnacentral:lncRNA from 1 species
CCUACAGCUAUGAGGAAGUCCAGGAGGAGACGGGAGAAGCUGGGGAGGCUGGUGCUACUGCUGGAAGACAGGCCAAAGAGGAAGAAUGAAAAAAAAUUCCAGCAGGCCAUUGAGAAAGAACUUUGAACAACAAAUGUUUAAUAGGGAUUGCAGCAGUGUGAUGCAGUCCCCAACUUUGAUUUCCUGCUCCACACGAGAUCCUAGUGAACUGUCUCUAGUUAUUACUCCUUAGCUCCAUGUAGUUCCAGAUCCUUUCCUGUGAGUGGAUUUGGCUUGGACAGAAGAGGGAAGACUUAUGUGGAGGUGGGCGCUUGGCUGCCGCCACCAUUGUGGCCAUCUGGAAAGGGUGAAUCUUCGAGAGGAGAGCCCAGUGACUGUCGUGCAUUGCCUGGGACAGCCCAGACACCUAAUUCUGAUCAGACAGAAGUCCCUGAUCAGAUGAAAAGAAAAAGCAAAGAUUCUGUCUGUCCUGACCGCCCUGCAGGUUAAGCUGCCCUGCAGCCAGCAGAGUGCCUGGCAUACGGGAGGCACCCUGUGCAGCAGCCAGGGCUACUCGCCCAACUGGGAGGAGGCGGAUGGUGGGUAAAAGUGAGCACUGGGCCUUCCUGAUGUGAGGCGAGGAUGUGGAUCUGGGAGGAAAGACAAAUGAAGAAGCAGGUGGACAGCCCCAGCUGGGCUCCAGGUGGGGCCUGGGGUAAAGUGACCCUUCUGCAUUGCUUUCCUGCUCUGGGUACCCGUAACUGCUAACAGACCAGGGCUGAGUCCCCAGACAGCCUUCUUGUCUGGGGUUCAGUCUGUGCCACCCUCUCCAACUCACCUACUCUCUAUUUUCCAUCUGCACUGAGACCUUGUGAACCACCGUGAAAAAUGCUUCUCACUUCCAGUCCCAAGAGAGGUGGAGAGCCGCAGUAGAACGUUGCAGAAGGAGAGGCGGCUUCUAGCUGGGGAUAUGGGGGCUGGCCCUUGAGCAGGACUUUGCAGGAUGGGGUGGACAUCCAUUGCUAUAUAUUCUCCUGGUGCUGUGCUAUAGGACCCCCUACUGUUUCAGGAAUAAAGCCCAGCCCCUGCCAGGUGCUUGCAGUCCAGGGGGCACCCGGGUGAGUGGCAGUCAGGGCCAACACUGUGUGGUGGCAGGGCUGGGCUGGGAGCCUCACAUACAUUUUCCUCAUGAUCUUCCCCUGUGACCUUGGUGAUUUCCUGAGAUUUUUGUCAGUCCUUCCCGUUCUGCAAGUUGAUCAGUUUGGCCCUUUGGUUUUCAGAUUUUUAUGGAAAGAACUUCUCUCAUCCCUGCUUCAUAUCCUUUCAGUUCUGUCCAAAGGCAAAUCUCUGACGCAUUCCCACUCCGGCCAUCUGACGUGUGCUGGGUCACGAGGGCAGGCUGCAGCCUCCCUUGCAGUCCCUUGCCUUAGACGCCCGCGCCAGCCCAUUCAACCAUCACAAAUGCGCAGACAGAGCAGAAGGUUCCCAACAGGCUGCGCCUGUGCUGGACCACCCCCUUUCCUCCUUCCUUCAGCUGCCCCUCUUUCUGGAUGGGUAAAAGCACUUCCAUGUUUUCAGAGGCGUGGAGGGAGCCCGAGAAGAGCAGAUGUUGACACCACCAUCACUGCCUGCAGCAGUGAGACCAGGGGCACAGUUUUUGUUGAAAGGGUCGACCAGGAAGCACUUCCUUGACUCUGUCCUAAAGCCUCUGGAGAGCCCUUAAAUUUGUGGUCCUUGAAGCUAUUGUAAAGGUAUUAUUCAGGAACAAGAUGGGCAAAACAUGAAUAGGACAAGCUUUCUGCUCUCCAGGGACUCCCUUGAAGAUGUGUCACAACCCCAAGCCAGUAUGCCUGUGUGAUUUCAUCUUAGAUGGUAUCUUGGAAGCAAGACCUACCUGGACUUUUUAGAAAUCUAAUCUAAUCAUUUUCUGUCUUGGAGUAGGGAGUUGAAAGGCACAAGUGCGGACAAGAGGAUCAAUCAAAGCUCCGUUCUGUUCCCAAUCCUUCCAGUCCCGAUGCUCCAGAGAGCAGGGGAGGCACCUGUACACAGGUACUGGGCAUGAUUGAUGAGGCAGUGCCCAGGAGCCCAACUUCCUCGAAGCGAGAGAAAGGACAGAGAUGCUAAGAUCUGCACACUUCCACAUUUUAGAGAAUUUGGGAGACCCAUGUUGGAUGUGGACCGUGGUUCUUAUUUGUAUUAUUUUCUGAGUGGUAGAUGUGCUUAAUCCCAGCACCUGCCUAAACUGAUGACAACAGCGGCUUUCCUACUGGAAGGACAUUGCCACUUGAUAGCAUAUGCUGUACCUCGCUUGCAUGUCCCUGCUUCCAAGCUUUGGGGAUUUCUAGGAUUGUUUUCUCCUAGUUUCCUUGUGUCACGUGGGCUCCUUUAUAAAAUAUCCCCAUAUAAUAGUGCAUGAUGUGCUCUAUUACAAAACACAGAUGUGUCUGUCCAAGACAGCCUGGGGGCAGCGAGCUGGGGCGUGGCAAGGAGACGAACUGGAAUGACGGGAGAGCCCUAGUGGAUGCACAGUGCACCGCUCUUACACCACAAGCCUCCCGCCCCAGCAUGAUUUAACCCGUGAAGAAAGCAGAGCAUUUAAUAUGUUCUACAGAUGUUUUAAAAAAAGAAUAACGGCGCUUGUCCCAAGUGUGGGAUGGAGGCACACACUCUUCUGAGAUGUGAAGCAAAUUUCAUAUCUCAAAAGAGAAAAAGGACAACAGUUCCUGCUCAGUCACCAAGUCUGAUUCUCAACCCUGGAACGCCUCAGCCUGCCUGAGCCCAGAAAUGAGGCUCCUUGUGAACACUAUGGAAAUGCAAUGGCUGUUUUGAUUUUCCAUAACGGACAGCACACUGGUCCGGGAGGCAUAUCCAAUCUAAAUGAACUAGCAUCUGUGAAACUUCCUAGCACAGUCCCAGCACAUCGCAGGAGCUGAACUAAUGUUCUUUUCCCUUCCCAAGGAACCCUGAAGCCUUUGAAGGAACCGUGAUUGGGAAGGCAUCAACAUUUGCUUUUCGCUGGUAUAAAUUUGGACCACUGGUCUGCCCGGGGUGUCCCCUGCCAGUGGUCGUGGACUGCUAGGGAAGCACAGCACACCCCC